rnacentral:rRNA from 1 species
AUGUCACACAAAAAAAGAGGUAAUCGGCCGUGGCAAAUUCAAGGACCAUGGUGCAUUUACCUCGAAGAAAAAUCCAAAAGGGAUGAUGCUCCAAGGGGGCCAACCGAGCAAAACACACAGAAAAAAAGUGGAGCACUGAAGUCAGCGAGACACAUAAUCCAAUCCACCUAUCUGUCCCUAGUUGCGCAAUAUCAGUCAGUAGCUGGGUCUCGAUCGCCCGCUGCUUGCUGCCACGGCGGCACCAUAGCAUCGAAGAUAUUUCUGAAUGGCCUAAUCAGGUUACACCCUAGCAUCCACACACCAACACCAAUAGAGCUGCCCAGCUCCGGCUCACUCGCACUCAAGACAGACCAGACAAAGCGAGCCAGGGGGACACCUGUUUGGUUCCAGCAAGAACUCUGA